rnacentral:lncRNA from 1 species
GUGAGCCCACGGGUCGGGGAAGGCACGCGAAACCUGCGACCUGUAUCGAACAUUCCCUAGUGGAAGGGGGACCCAGUAAUGGGGCUGCUACGUGGGUGGGCUGGUCCCUCCCCCUCCCCUCCUAUUAUGUACCAAAAAAAAUGAUUUGAUUGAUCAUGGUCAUCACAUUCGCAUGGAAAUGCCCACGCCAUGCGGAAUCAAUACAAUCUGAGUAAUUCAUUGGGGAUAAAUGUUUGAAUGUCAUGUGCCAUACAGAAAAAUAAUGAAAUAAAAUAAAAAAAUAUAAUAGUUAUGUGGUUCGAUUUAUCCAUCAACAUUUACGAACAGGGACAAUGUAAAAAUUUUAUUAAUAUAACUUCUACCUCUCAAUACUUUCAAACACUAAAAUACUCAAUUAUUCUCUUUCUUUCAAAUUACAAGACAUAUAUGAUAAAAUAAAUCGAUCUAAAUCUAUGACUAAUAUAUAAAAUAGAGUAAAUCGAUUUAGACUCGCUUUGAUGUUUUAAGUCGAUUUAGAUUCGAUCCUUAGAACUUGUAAACUUAAUAUAUAUUCAAUAGAGUAUAAUGAAUAUCACUUAUCGGAGAUCUAGAUCAUGGCAACUAGAAGUGGCACUAACUAGGCCUGUUUAAAUAUGAGUAGUUGUUUAUAUACUUGCAUGCUUUUUAGAUUUUAUACUAAUAAAAUAUAUCAGUCAGAAUUAUACUUUCUAAUAUCAUUGAUUUUUAAAAGCUAACAUUCUACUCAAUUACAUUUUAAACUUUUUCAUGUUAUUAUAUUUUAAAGUUUUGAUAAUGAGUGUUGCACGGAUGUGUGCAUGAUGCACCAAAAAAAAAAACAAGAAAAAGCACAUGAAGUUUGUGACACAAAUAAACCUCUCCUAGCAUAGAUUUUAUUUUUAUAUCAGAAAUUUAAAGGAGGCAGGGUGUGCGUGAUUUGGGUUGCACGCAAGCAUUUUCUUUUUAAAAAAAAAGAUUGAUAGGCUAACGUACAUUUAACUUUUUUCUUGUGUUCAUGUUGCCGCUAAAUUCUGAACUGAGGUCGGUAUACUACAUUGCUAUUCUGCUUGCUUCGAGGUCGAUGAAAACCAAACUAAAUGAGACGAUCGAGAUGAGAAAGAACAGGCUGCCUUUGAAGAUGACCUACAAGAAGUUCACUUACUGAAAAGUUUUUUCGACGAAGGAUCCUCCGAUACUUAAGUUAGAAUGAUAGGAUAAUAGUGUGAAAGGAAGAAAUUUUGUAGAGUGGAGUCUCCGAAUAAGCUUACCUAGAAUUCUUAGGCCACCCCUUUAUAUAGGGUAAUACAAUGAUCUGUUAUCUGAUUUGGCGCAUCGUGAUUUAAUUGUAAGGUAACAGUGCAUGUUUACAACGUAGAAGUUGUUCUGCGUGAGCAACACGUGGCAGAAAUUAUGCCGAUCAUGUAUUGAUUGUAGGGUUCCAUAAUUGUCGGUCUUUAUUAGUACGACAAAAGUGGCUCCUUAGUUUUCACUGAAGUUAUUCAUCUUGGCUAAUACCUGAGACCAAGAAGGUUGGUCUAAUCUAAGAUAGAGAUAUCUAAUAUUUUUCUCCCCAG